rnacentral:rRNA from 1 species
GACGAACGCUGGCGGCGUGCUUAACACAUGCAAGUCGAACGGAAAGGCCCUGCUUUUGUGGGGUGCUCGAGUGGCGAACGGGUGAGUAACACGUGAGUAACCUGCCCUUUACUUUGGGAUACCUUCAGGAAACUGGGGCUAAUACCGGAUAGGAGCUCCUUCUGCAUGGUGGGGGUUGGAAAGUUUCGGCGGUUGGGGAUGGACUCGCGGCUUAUCAGCUUGUUGGUGGGGUAGUGGCUUACCAAGGCUUUGACGGGUAGCCGGCCUGAGAGGGUGACCGGCCACAUUGGGACUGAGAUACGGCCCAGACUCAUACGGGAGGAAGCAGUGGGGAAUAGUGCACAAUGGGCGGAAGCCUGAUGCAGCAACGCCGCGUGCGGGAUGACGGCCUUCGGGUUGUAAACCGCUUUCGCCUGUGACGAAGCGUGAGUGACGGUAAUGGGUAAAGAAGCACCGGCUAACUACGUG